UUUGCCACUACAUUUUUUGUUGCAAAACGGUGAAAACAAGGCACUUAUUACCGUUUUGCAACCGAAAAUGCGGUCACAAAAACCAUGUUUUCUAGAGAGUUUCUUUAAAAUAUCCAUGACUUCUAAGUGUUUUCAUGGUCAUUCUAGAGUGUUUUUGGCUGAUCUAGAGUCUUCCGAUGGUGCCAACAGCAACUUGUAGGUUGUUCUAGAAACUUCCGGGCAGCCCUAGACGCAUCUUUACUGUUCCGGAACCUUCCGGAACUCACGAAAAAAGUUGUGUAUUUUGGCGGAUCGUGACAUUUACCUCUACCCCGUAUGAAUAGAGAGGUAAUAGGUACGUGCUCCCAAAAUUUGUAUUGAGUACCCCUACCAAUAUCAACCGAAGGACGCUCAUCGAUAGGAUUUUCCACAGGUGAUCAUGAAUUUGAAUUUUGUUUUAACGGAUGUAAUAAAAUCCUCUUUAUAGAGAAUUUGGAUUUAGGGGUUUGGAUGAGGAUUGAUGAUUUUUGAGUAUUAUAUUUUGAUGUAUUACAGUUUCU
rnacentral:lncRNA from 1 species